ensembl:misc_RNA Metazoa_SRP Metazoan signal recognition particle RNA
GCUGGGUGUGGUGGUGCACACCUGUAGUCCCAGCUACUCGGGAGGCUGAGGCAGGAGAAUCACUUGAACCUGGGAGGCAGAGUUUGCAGUGAGCAGAGAUUGUGCCACUGCACUCCAGCCUAGACAACAGAGUGAGAUUCUGUCUCAA